UUCUUUGCUGGGAAAGAUGCGUGAGUUUGUGUUCUCUAAAUAGACUACGGAAAAUAGUUUAAUCCCUUGCAAAAAUACUGAAUUUUAGGAGUCGAGGAAUCGAUUCCUUGCGGAAUCUUAACACCCAGAAAUGGGAGUUGACACCGGAGGUUGACCAGCAAGGAGUUGAGGAAUCGAUUAUUUUGAAGUAGACUCCCAAUCACUAUCCAUAUGGCAGUUGGGACAGAGCGCCCGGUAAACUACACAACAACCCAGCUGGAAAUCAACGACAGUUUCUCGAAAUUUCCUGAAACAUGUCAAUGGCCUGAUGCAUGGCCUCUACAGAGGUGCUUGGCCACCCACUCAGUUACCAGUGACCUAUUCUGCCACAUCCCAGGGAAAGGAGAGCGCAGAACCACUCCUGUUUAAAUCCAUAGUCAUUGACAGUACAAAAGCCUUGUGUCCUGAUUCAACAGACUCCCUUGUAAGUGUCAUGAAAAGCCAGAAAACUCAGGAGGUUGAUGUGUUGCCUUCUGGGAAGUCCUGAAAUAUGACCCUGAGCCGUUUUGGAGAUGGACGCAAAGUAUGUGUAUGAAUCUGACCCAUCACACAACUCUUCAAGAGGGCCACUACGCUCCAGAUCGCCUUCUGUGCUCAGAGGUCCUUGAUGAGGAUCUACCCCAUCACACCCACUCUUAUUAAUCAUUAAUCAAAUAAAACAAUGGGCCUUUAUAUACUCCCA